rnacentral:rRNA from 1 species
UACGGGGGGGGCAAGCGUUGUUCGGAAUUACUGGGCGUAAAGGGCUCGUAGGUGGUUUGUCGCGUUGUUCGUGAAAACUCACAGCUCAACUGUGGGCGUGCGGGCGAUACGGGCAGACUGGAGUACUGCAGGGGAGACUGGAAUUCCUGGUGUAACGGUGGAAUGCGCAGAUAUCAGGAGGAACACCUGCGGCGAAGGCGGGUUGCUGGGCUGACACUGACGCUGAACUGCGAAAGCUAGGGGAGCGAACGGG